GUCUUCGUGGCUCAGUUGGUUAGAGCGUUGGUCUCAUAACGUCAUCGUUGAUGAAGGUGCUUAACGCAUCUGACAUCCAAAGGUCGCGAGUUCGAGUCUCGCCGAGGACA
rnacentral:tRNA from 1 species